rnacentral:rRNA from 1 species
UACAGAGGGUGCGAGCGUUGUCCGGAAUCACUGGGCGUAAAGGGCGCGUAGGUGGCCUGAUAAGUAGGGGGUGAAAUCUCGAGGCUCAACUUCGAGGCUGCCUCCUAAACUGUCAGGCUUGAGCAGAGUAGAGGCAGGUGGAAUUCCCGGUGUAGCGGUGGAAUGCGUAGAUAUCUGGAGGAACACCGGUGGCGAAGGCGGCAUCCUGGACCGGUAUUGACGCUGAGGCGCGAAAGCUAGGGGAGCAAACGGG